rnacentral:rRNA from 1 species
AAGGCUGAGGCGUGAUGACGAGGCACUACGGUGCUGAAGCAACAAAUGCCCUGCUUCCAGGAAAAGCCUCUAAGCAUCAGGUAACAUCAAAUCGUACCCCAAACCGACACAGGUGGUCAGGUAGAGAAUACCAAGGCGCUUGAGAGAACUCGGGUGAAGGAACUAGGCAAAAUGGUGCCGUAACUUCGGGAGAAGGCACGCUGAUAUGUAGGUGAAGUCCCUCGCGGAUGGAGCUGAAAUCAGUCGAAGAUACCAGCUGGCUGCAACUGUUUAUUAAAAACACAGCACUGUGCAAACACGAAAGUGGACGUAUACGGUGUGACGCCUGCCCGGUGCCGGAAGGUUAAUUGAUGGGGUUAGCGCAAGCGAAGCUCUUGAUCGAAGCCCCGGUAAACGGCGGCCGUAACUAUAACGGUCCUAAGGUAGCGAAAUUCCUUGUCGGGUAAGUUCCGACCUGCACGAAUGGCGUAAUGAUGGCCAGGCUGUCUCCACCCGAGACUCAGUGAAAUUGAACUCGCUGUGAAGAUGCAGUGUACCCGCGGCAAGACGGAAAGACCCCGUGAACCUUUACUAUAGCUUGACACUGAACAUUGAGCCUUGAUGUGUAGGAUAGGUGGGAGGCUUUGAAGUGUGGACGCCAGUCUGCAUGGAGCCGACCUUGAAAUACCACCCUUUAAUGUUUGAUGUUCUAACGUUGACCCGUAAUCCGGGUUGCGGACAGUGUCUGGUGGGUAGUUUGACUGGGGCGGUCUCCUCCUAAAGAGUAACGGAGGAGCACGAAGGUUGGCUAAUCCUGGUCGGACAUCAGGAGGUUAGUGCAAUGGCAUAAGCCAGCUUGACUGCGAGCGUGACGGCGCGAGCAGGUGCGAAAGCAGGUCAUAGUGAUCCGGUGGUUCUGAAUGGAAGGGCCAUCGCUCAACGGAUAAAAGGUACUCCGGGGAUAACAGGCUGAUACCGCCCAAGAGUUCAUAUCGACGGCGGUGUUUGGCACCUCGAUGUCGGCUCAUCACAUCCUGGGGCUGAAGUAGGUCCCAAGGGUAUGGCUGUUCGCCAUUUAAAGUGGUACGCGAGCUGGGUUUAGAACGUCGUGAGACAGUUCGGUCCCUAUCUGCCGUGGGCGCUGGAGAAUUGAGGGGGGCUGCUCCUAGUACGAGAGGACCGGAGUGGACGCAUCACUGGUGUUCGGGUUGUCAUGCCAAUGGCACUGCCCGGUAGCUAAAUGCGGAAGAGAUAAGUGCUGAAAGCAUCUAAGCACGAAACUUGCCCCGAGAUGAGUUCUCCCUGACUCCUUGAGAGUCCUGAAGGAACGUUGAAGACGACGACGUUGAUAGGCCGGGUGUGUAAGCGCAGCGAUGCGUUGAGCUAACCGGUACUAAUGAACCGUGAGGCUUAACCUU